AUGAAACGAAUACAUGGCUGAAAGCGCCGUAGAAAGACAUCUUACUACAAGAGUAGAAGUGCAUUGAAAAAUAAUCCGUUAAAAAAGAAUUUUUCUUGUUAUAAUCAAAACAAUUUUUUUUUCUUCUGUUCAAUCAUUUUCGCCACGCGAUCUGUUCUGAAACGUUUGGCGACUAGAUGAACCGCAACACAUAGAGGUGCGUUUUUGGUUUCAGUGUUAUUAAUCAAAUUGACUUUGGUGACAUGUAACUGAUAAGUAGAGCAGAUUAUUUAUUUGAAUAAUAAAUUUAAUUUAAAAAAAAAAUAUUUAAAAAAGUAAUUAACUAACCGCAGAGUGACAAGUGGUUAUAUAACACUGUAUGAGCAUCAUUUCUGCAAUUCUGUUUUUAUUUUGAGUGCCACGUUCAGUAUAAUAUAUUUUCGUUAAAAGAGAAAAAAAGACAUUGAUGCAGUUGUGCAUUCACCAUCUUUUUGUGUCAAGUAAAUCUCGGUAUCAUGAUGAGGUUUCGGGAACACUGUUGGCGAAAUUCCAUUAAUAAUGCCGUCGGUAUAAACCAAACAAGACUAAUCUUAAGUCAGAGAGAGAUUCACCGUAAUCGUGUCUAAAGAUUAUAAUACCAAACAAAAAGCUUAAAAAAUGGAACGAAUAGAAUUAAGAAUAAACAGAUGGAAAUGGAUUAAAGGUGGUAAAAUCAAACAAUCCGAUUCGUAGUGGCAUCGCGCAAUGAAUAAAACAGAGUGUAUUGAUUUAGACUCCGUAAAAUGGACGGAUCUAGGAAAUAUUAUAUCUUUAGCUAUACUGGCUUUCAUAAAUGUUCUUGUUAUUGUUGGAAAUUGCCUCGUUAUAGCUGCUGUGUUUUGUUCACACAAACUUCGGAGUGUUACGAACUUUUUCAUUGUUAGUUUAGCCGUUGCUGAUCUAUUGGUGGGAUUAUGUGUACUACCGUUUUCUGCAACAUGGGAAGUGUUUAAGGUAAGUUUUCGUAUAGCAAAUAAAACUUUUAAAAAAAUAUCUUGCAAAUGAGGCUUGCUCGAACUUACGUCAAGCAACU